rnacentral:rRNA from 1 species
UACGUAGGCAGCAAGCGUUGUUCGGAGUUACUGGGCGUAAAGGGUGCGUAGGCGGCUUCUUAAGUCUGGUGUGAAAUCUCCCGGCUCAACUGGGAGGGUGCGCCGGAUACUGAGGGGCUAGAGUGUGGGAGAGGAAAGUGGAAUUCCAGGUGUAGCGGUGAAAUGCGUAGAGAUCAGCAGGAACACCCGUGGCGAAGGCGGCCACCUGGGCCUAACCUGACGCUGAGGCGCGAAGGCUAGGGGAGCGAACGGG